rnacentral:rRNA from 1 species
GCGUUGUUCGGAAUUACUGGGCGUAAAGGGCGCGUAGGCGGCCUUAUAAGUCCCGUGUGAAAUCCCUCGGCUCAACUGAGGAACUGCACGGGAAACUGUCUGGCUUGAGUUCGGGAGAGGGAAGCGGAAUUCCGGGUGUAGCGGUGAAAUGCGUAGAUAUCCGGAGGAACACCGGUGGCGAAGGCGGCUCCCUGGACCGACACUGACGCUGAGGCGCGAAAGCUAG